GAUGACGUCAAGUCCUCAUGGCCUUUAUGUCUAGGGCUGCACACGUCCUACAAUGCAACGUACAAAGCGACGCGAAAUCGCGAGAUCAAGCAAACCGCAUAAAACGUUGCCCAGUUCGGAUUGCAGGCUGAAAUUCGCCUGCAUGAAGCCGGAAUCGCUAGUAAUCGUAGGUCAGCAUACUACGGUGAAUGUGUUCCUGAGCCUUGUACACACCGCCCGUCAAGCCACGAAAGUUGGGGGGGCCCGAAGUCGCGAUGCUAACCGCAAGGAGGCUAGCGCCGAAGGUCAACUCGAUGAUUGGGACUAAGUCGUAACAAGGUAGCCGUAGGGGAACCUGCGGCUGGAUCACCUCCUUU
rnacentral:rRNA from 1 species